rnacentral:rRNA from 1 species
UACAGAGGUCUCAAGCGUUGUUCGGAUUCAUUGGGCGUAAAGGGUGCGUAGGCGGCGCGGUAAGUCGGGGGUGAAAUCUCGGGGCUUAACUCCGAAACUGCAUUCGAUACUGCCGUGCUUGAGGACUGGAGAGGAGACUGGAAUUUACGGUGUAGCGGUGAAAUGCGUAGAUAUCGUAAGGAAGACCAGUGGCGAAGGCGGGUCUCUGGACAGUUCCUGACACUGAGGCACGAAGGCCAGGGGAGCAAACGGG